rfam:Eubacterium sp. CAG:192 genomic scaffold, scf416
GGGCUAGUACUGGUUUCGACAGGGAUUUGGAAUCUGGUGAAGCUAUCCGUAGGUGAUACGUUAAAUCACAACUUUAAAAUUAAACGCUGAAGAUAAUUUAGCUUACGCUGCCUAGUUGCAGCUGUCACUAAUAAGUCUCCUACAGCUUGUUAGUUGGCAUCGACUUUCGUAGGGAACCCUAAUUACAAAGCUUUGAGUAAUUAGGAGCAUUAUGAAGCUACUAAGAGGUAAAGGGUGUUAGUUCCCGUUAUCUUAAGGGAAUGUCAAAUAACUGACUAUGAUAGUAGAAGAACGGUGGAAGGAUUUUUGGACAGGGGUUCGACUCCCCUCUAGUCCACUC